rnacentral:rRNA from 1 species
UACGUAGGGUGCGAGCGUUAAUCGGAAUUACUGGGCGUAAAGCGUGCGUAGGCGGUUCGCUGUGUCCGAUGUGAAAGCCCCGGGCUUAACCUGGGAAUGGCAUUGGAAACUGGCGGGCUUGAGUGCGGCAGAGGGGGGUGGAAUUCCGCGUGUAGCAGUGAAAUGCGUAGAGAUGCGGAGGAACACCGACGGCGAAGGCAGCGCCCUGGCCGACAUCUGACGCUCAGGCACGAAAGCUGGGGGAGCAAACAGG